CAAAGGCAUGGUCCCGACCUUAUUAUUAACUCUAACCCAACUUACACAUGCAAGUCUCCGCAACCCAGUGAAUAUGCCCUCAAUCCCCCGCCCGGGGAAGAGGAGCAGGCAUCAGGCACAAAAGUUAGCCCAAAACGCCUAGCCUAGCCACACCCCCAAGGGAAUUCAGCAGUGAUAAACAUUAAGCCAUAAGUGAAAACUUGACUCAGUUAGUGUUAAGAGGGCCGGUAAAAUUCGUGCCAGCCACCGCGGUUAAACGAGAGGCCCUAGUUAAUAAUACAACGGCGUAAAGGGUGGUUAAGAAUAAAUAUAAAUAAAGCCAAAUGGCCCUUUGGCCGUCAUAAGCUUCUGGGCGUCCGAGACCCCAACACGAAAGUAGCUUUAACAACUUCACCUGACCCCACGAAAGCUGAGAAACAAACUGGGAUUAGAUACCCCACUAUGCUCAGCCGUAAACUUAGACAUCCAACUACAAUUAGAUGUUCGCCAGGGUACUACAAGCAUUAGCUUAAAACCCAAAGGACUUGACGGUGUCUCAGACCCCCUAGAGGAGCCUGUUCUAGAACCGAUAACCCCCGUUAAACCUCGCCACUCUUAGCCAUCCCAGCCUAUAUACCGCCGUCGUCAGCUUACCCUGUGAAGGUAAUAAAAGUAAGCAAAAUGGGCACAACCCAGAACGUCAGGUCAAGGUGUAGCCUAUGGAGUGGAAAGAAAUGGGCUACAUUUUCUAUUACAGAACACUACGAACGUGCACCAUGAAACAGUGCUUGAAGGAGGAUUUAGUAGUAAAAAGGAAAUAGAGUGUCCCUUUGAACCCGGCUCUGAGACGCGCACACACCGCCCGUCACUCUCCCCUAUCAAAACGCACCAAAAAUACCUAAUAAACCAGCACUGAUGAGGGGAGGCAAGUCGUAACACGGUAAGUGUACCGGAAGGUGCACUUGGAAUAAACC
rnacentral:ncRNA from 1 species